GAACGCACAUUGCGCCCGCGAGUAUUCUCGCGGGCAUGCCUGUCCGAGCGUCAUUUCAACCCUCAGGGCCCGCCUGCUUCGGCAGGCGCGGCGCUGGUGUUGGGGAUCGGCUUCACUGCCGUCCCCCAAAUACAGUGGCGGUCUCGCUGCAGCCUCCCCUGCGUAGUAGCAACACUCGCAUGCGGAGCGCGGCGCGGCCACGCCGUAAAACCCCCGACUUUCUGAACGUUGACCUCGGAUCAGGUAGGAAUACCCGCUGAACUUAAG
rnacentral:misc_RNA from 1 species